AAAUCAUUUUGCUUUGAUUAAUAAUUUUGGUCUUUUCUUCCUGCAGGAAGUCCAUCCACCAGUGGAGGAGAGAAGGUCAACAGCAGCGUUUCCACGACGACACAAACGUGUAAAAAUACAGAGAUUGAGACGCUCUCAGACGACUCCACGCUGACAACUCUGGAUGCGCUCAAAGCUCGGAUACGGGAUUUGGAGAAACAGUUGUCUAAAGGAGACAGAUUUAAAUGCCUCAUCUGCAUGGACACGUACACAACUCCACUCACUUCCAUCCAGUGCUGGCACGUUCACUGUGAGGAGUCU